rnacentral:rRNA from 1 species
GAUGAACGCUAGCGGCAGGCUUAACACAUGCAAGUCGAGGGGCAGCGCGGGGUAGCAAUACCCUGGCGGCGACCGGCGGAAGGGUGCGUAACACGUGAGCGACUUGCCCGUCACAGGGAGAUAACCGGCGGAAACGGCGACUAAUAUCCCAUAUGAUCCGAUGCUACAUGGCGUCGGGUUGAAAGAUUCAUCGGUGACGGAUAGGCUCGCGGGACAUUAGCUAGACGGCGGGGCAACGGCCCACCGUGGCGACGAUGUCUAGGGGUUCUGAGAGGAAGAUCCCCCACACUGGAACUGAGACACGGUCCAGACUCCUACGGGAGGCAGCAGUGAGGAAUAUUGGUCAAUGGGCGGAAGCCUGAACCAGCCAUGCCGCGUGAAGGAAUAAGGCCCUAUGGGUCGUAAACUUCUUUAGACGCAGAGCAAUAAGGGUCUCGUGAGGCCCGAUGAGAGUAUGCGUAGAAUAAGCAUCGGCUAACUCCGUG